AGGGCUCCGCCGCGGGGUGGAGGAGGGGACGCGCCCGCCAGGAUGGGGGCGGGAGGGACCGCCGGGAAGGAGCCCGGGGGACCCCUGGGAGCCGGGUCAACUCAGGUUUGCACAAGUCAACAAAAUACUGUGUAUUGGGAUGGACAAGACACUCCUGAAGAUGAUGACUAGGUGCUGUGGCAGGGAGAGGGCCUCCACCAGCAGACAUGUGGAAGAUGUUGAAGCAGACAACAGCUGGAAACCUUCAGAGAACAUUUUGGUUUAUAAAAUCACUCUCUGCUUUGCCAAGACCUUUCAUUCUCUAAGAGGUGACAAUCCCUUCUCAGGUUCUAUCAGACAGCAAGUGCUGGCCUGACAAGAACACAACUGUCCAGAAGACAACAAAAGGGAGAAAGGGUCCCAGUUUUCUUACUCAGCUCCCUGGAAUCCAAGAAGAUAACCUGAUUUAUUCUGAGUUCUCUAUAAAAACCCUCAUGUCUCUCUCCUCCUCUUACCUCACAUCCCCUCUCACUUCCUUAGGAGCCUCUCUCUGGCUCUUACUCACAAGAUCCCUGAGGCAGCACAGAGACUGUACAUAGCCACCAACUCCCAAGCCCUUUGCUUUCUCCAGAGAAACCACAGGAAACACUGCAUGGAAUAAAUCCCUCCAGUCACAAUUAUUCAGACAUUCUUAUAAGUACUGUUCUUUUAAAAAGCUGGAAAGUUGGGUUGAGGAGUUUGGGGCUAUUAUUAGCACCAAACACUAUAAAAAGGAAAUGCCACUGAUAAACUUGGGUAGCUAUAUUUUUAUAUGGGAUAAUUCAAGCUUCCUUCUUUGAGUUCCCAGUCAUAAGAAAUCCUUAAUAAAAAUACUACCUCAGGCCAUACCCUCAAACCCAGCUUAAACAUUGCUGAAAUCCACUGGGGCUAUUCCAGCCAGGACUGACUAGGAAACUAAGAUUGUGUUUUUAGCCUAUUUUUAUGGCUGCUCCCUUCUGAGUUGCUCAGGUCUGUCCUACCAAAGGAAAAUAAUCCACCAGCCCACAUACAAAUAUUUACUUGUAGUGACUAUGUGGAGGCAGCAUGGCAAAGGGGUUAGUAUGAAGGUCAGACUUAACCAAGCUUGGUCCCAUGAAGCAUCAGGCAAGUUACUCAACCCUUUUGAACUUUCCCUGCAAGAUGGGUUGCUGUCAACCCUAUGAGUUAAUGCCUGACAUCUAACACUUGGUAAAUUUUCAGUAAAUGUUAAUUCAUUAUUAUGUGUUCAGUCAUGUCUCUUACCCUAGGAACUGCAAAAAUGUGAUUUUACCUUUGGAAAUUCUACACUCUUUCUUGAUACACAAAGCAUACCAACAGAAUAAAAGAACAACAGAAAUAAUGAGAUCUUGUGUGGAUAAAGUUGCUUAAAAACGUACUUCAGAGACCCUGCUAGCCUCCCGCUUCCAGCUCUAUAGGAGAGCAAUUUGUCAAUGUGUGUCAAGAGCCUUUAAAAUAUGUUUGCCCUAAAGAAAACAAUUAAGCCUGUGAGCAAAAAUUUAUAGUGGAUAUUAUAGUAGCAAAAAACUGUUAGUCUAAGUGUCUAACAACGGAAUUUCCAUGAAUAUUUAGACAUUACAAUUGAACAUUUACUCAAACCACGUCAUAAAACAAUAUGUACACUAUGGGUCCAAUCAAAUGUAUGAACUGAAGCAUUGCUUUCAUUAAGAGUUUCUUGUGACCAGGAGCUCUAAAAAGAAAAUUUGAUUUACUCCCAUAUAAAAAUAUAGAUAUGUGGGUAAAUGUAUACAUACACGUAGGAAAGGUCUAUAGACCAUGGCUUGACACAGUAGUUUCAUGUGUGGGUGCUGCUUUUGAGUGGGUUUUUUGUUUUGUUUAUUUGUAUUUCUAUAGAGAUACAUUGCUUUUAUAUUAGGAAAAAAAGCCCUCAAAAUUUAGAGAAACAGUUCAAUGAAUCUAGGGAAAUAGAACAAAUACAACACAAUAGGUAAAUAAGCAGUGGCCUAUAUUUUGCUUGACGUUUCUAAGAAUUCUACGCCCUUUAUUUAGCUUUCCACAAAUAACACCGAUUCACUGUGUGACUGGGCAGAUUUUUCCCUCUCUGGCCUCAGUUUUCCAUAUGUAAAAUGCACAAGUUGGACUAGAUUGGGGAUGGCAAAUGAGUUUACCUUGAGUGUCAGCGCUGUAUCAUUGCUAGAGACUGCCUGGACCACCUCUGUGAUGAGAAUGAAUGUUUGAAAAUGGGCUAGAGCUCUGUGACUAACAAUGUGUGUCAUGGAUGUAAGCAUGUGGAAUGAUACAGGAGGACCAUGCAGUUCCUAUAUGUAGACUAGAUAACUUUAAGGUUUCUUGAAAUACUGUGAGCCUGGGGCAUCUUCCAGCAAAAAUAUUAAUCUGAAUUUGAAAAGUCACAGGGGUUGGGGGAACCUAAUUCCAUGUAGUCACUUUCCAUCUUAUUUUAUGGGACCCAAGACAUAAUUUGGGGUUUAUUGAAGAAGAAAAUAGUCAUGGCCUUUGUGUCUCCAUCAUAUUUGCCUCCAUCACCUCCCAACCCCAGAACAAGGAAUAAAUGUGCAGCUGUUGUUUCAUCUUCUUCAAUCUGAAAGAAUUUGAAAGCCACAGCUGUUAGAGGCAUAAACCUGACUCUAGAUCUGUUCUUGGUCCAUGUCUCAUGUUUCAUGGAAUUCUCUAAAAGCCACACCUCUGGGAGUCAAGUCAAGGAAGGCCACUUCUGUCAAUAACUACACUCCUAGGAUCAGAAGUGCUGAGUGCGCAUUCCAAGGGGACUUUCCUGUAUGAAGUAGUGCCUGUUCCUGUCCAGAUUCAGUGGAACCAAGCUCCUGAGAGGGGUGCUGAUGUUCCUAAGGUCAUAUGAUGAGUUCAACUACCACCCAGCUUUUCCCAUUUGCAAGCAGACAUGGAUAAUUGGGCAAACAUCAGCAUCUGGCUGCCAGCAGGUUGGCUAUUUGGAGGAGGGGCAGGCUAGAGGGCUUUACUGCGUCUCAAGUUAACCACACUCAUCUACCCUCGCUUCCACAGAGAACAGCAGGCUAUAUUCAGGGAUCUCGGCAACAGCUGUGCCUUCCAAACCAAGAUGCUGUUCAGAAAGAUGAUCCAAAUGUAGGCUAUGUGUUUCAGCAGGAGGUGGUGGGACUUUCCUGCUCAAAUGGCCCUUUGUGUGCUUCUAGGAGAUGGGGCAUUAACCUCACACGUGGCUAACCCAUGAUGGAUUACUUGGCAUUCUCAAUUUACAUUUGGCUGGUGGUCAGAACUGAACUGUCAAAAUGCCUGGGUAUCUGAAGCACACAGUGCCUGACUUGUUCAGACUUGUUUCUGAUGAAGUGGGUGGAUCCUGGGGCUUUUGCUCUAACCAGAUUUGAUAAGCUAAACAAGGCUGGACUGUUACAAAGGCUGGCUCCAGUGUUCCCCUCAGGGCAGCAGAAAUCAGUAUUCUGAAUCGGUGGCCUCUAUUAUCAACUUCAUUUAUAUUCAGCAUCUUUAUCUAUUUCUGGGUCUUCCCUGACAUUUACCCACUUGUUGCAAGUGUGGUUCUGCCCAAGACUGGGGUAUCACUAGAGUGAGAUGUACUUCCACUUACCCUUAAACCCAGCCAGCCUUUAUGCUGUGGCCUAGUUCGGAGUUAUCAAGAGAGCCUCUUAGAAAGUUUAACUCCUUGGAACCUUCUCAAAGGUCAUAUAUUUUAGUGCUGGCUCUGCAUUUACUUAUAGGAAUCUAGUCUAAAGAAAGGAAUUUGUUUUGGCCAAAAGGCUGUUGGAUCAGUGCUGGUAAUCACGAUACAUGUAAGAAACAACUUAAAUUCCAAUAGUAAGUGAUUGGUUAAGGAAAUUAUAGUCUAUCUAUAUGAGUCAACCAUUA